rnacentral:rRNA from 1 species
AGAACGAACGCUGGCGGCAGGCCUCAAACAUGCAAGUCUAGGGGGCGUAGCAAUACGUCACCGGCGGACGGGUGCGUAACACGUGGGAAUGUACUUACUGGUUCGGAACAACUCAGGGAAACUUGAGCUAAUACCGAAUGUGCCCGAAAGGGGAAAGAUUUAUCGCCAGUAAAUCAGCCCGCGUCCGAUUAGCUAGUUGGCGGGGUAAAGGCCCACCAAGGCGACGAUCGGUAGCUGUUCUGAGAGGAAGAUCAGCCACACUGGGACUGAGACACGGCCCCAGACUCCUACGGGAGGCAGCAGUUGGGAAUCUUGGACAAUGGGGGAAACCCUGAUCCAGCCAUGCCGCGUGAGUGAUGAAGGCCUUCGGGUUGUAAAACUCUUUCGACGGGGACGAUAAUGACGGUACCCGUAGAGAAGCUCCGGCUAACUUCGUGCCAGCAGCCGC